rnacentral:rRNA from 1 species
GAUGAACGCUGGCGGCGUGCCUAAUACAUGCAAGUCGAGCGAAUGGAUUAAGAGCUUGCUCUUAUGAAGUUAGCGGCGGACGGGUGAGUAACACGUGGGUAACCUGCCCAUAAGACUGGGAUAACUCCGGGAAACCGGGGCUAAUACCGGAUAACAUUUUGAACCGCAUGGUUCGAAAUUGAAAGGCGGCUUCGGCUGUCACUUAUGGAUGGACCCGCGUCGCAUUAGCUAGUUGGUGAGGUAACGGCUCACCAAGGCAACGAUGCGUAGCCGACCGGAGAGGGGGAUCGGCCAAACUGGGACUGAAACACGGCCCAGACUCCUACGGGAGGCAGCAGUAGGGAAUCUUCCGCAAGGGACGAAAGUCUGACGGAGCAACGCCGCGUGAGUGAUGAAGGCUUUCGGGUCGUAAAACUCUGUUGUUAGGGAAGAACAAGUGCUAGUUGAAUAAGCUGGCACCUUGACGGUACCUAACCAGAAAGCCACGGCUAACCACGUGCCAGCCGCCGCCGUAA